rnacentral:SRP_RNA from 1 species
GCUCCAUGUAGUGACACAUGCCUGCAAGUCCCUACUACCUAGGGAAACUGAGGCUGAUGGAUCUUUUGAGCUCAGGAAUUCUGAGCUACAGAAGGGCUAAAGCUGUUUUGGGUGUCCACGUUAAAUCUGGCAUCAACAUGGUGAGUCUCAGGAGUAGGGGAACCACAAGAGUGCCUAUUGAGAGGUGAAUUGGUCCAGGUUGGAAACAGAGCAGGUCAAAACUCCCAAGCUUAUCAGCUGUGGGAUUGGGCCUGCGAGUGGCCACUGCACUUUCAGCUUGGGCAAGAUGGGGAGAGCCAGUCUCC